rnacentral:rRNA from 1 species
GAGUUUGAUCGUGGCUCAGGAUGAACGCUGGCGGCGUGCUUAACACAUGCAAGUCGAACGGAGAUAGCAAUAUCUCAGUGGCGCACGGGUGAGGAACACGUAGCUUAUCUGCCCAGAAGCGCGGGAUAACGCUCCGAAAGGAGUGCUAAUACCGCAUAAGCUCCCGAGCUGCAGAGGCUUGAGAGAAAAGGGGAAACUCGCUUUUGGAGGAGGCUGCGGCCCAUCAGGUAGUUGGUGCGGUAACGGCGCACCAAGCCAACGACGGGUAGGGGACCUGAGAGGGUGAUCCCCCACACUGGGACUGAGACACGGCCCAGACUCCUACGGGAGGCAGCAGUGAGGAAUAUUGCCCAAUGGAGGAAACUCUGAGGCAGCGACGCCGCGUGGGUGAUGAAGGCCUUCGGGUCGUAAGCCCUUUUCUGCAUGACGAGAACGGACGGUAGUGCAGGAAUAAGUCUCGGCUAACUACGUGCCAGCCGCCGCAGUAAG